AUCCAAGAGGGCCUGAGCUUGCAGCGAUUCAAAGAAGGACUUCCUUUGAUGUCCAGCAGGUCAAAAAGAUUUGGAAGCAAAGACAUGACUCAACAGCAUCAGCAGCAUUCCAGCUUUCUGAUCUCAAAACCAGCCACUUCUCAGGCUAAAGAGUAACCUUAGAAGAGUUUUUCUAACAUUCCCCCUUCAUGGUCAAUAUAUUUUUCCCAACCCCAGGGGGAAGGAAAUUGAACAUCAGCCCCAGCUUAAAUGACCUUCAGGGUUUAACUCAGGGGAGCAUUCUUUGCAUCGUUGCUUAAUUGUUACAACCAGGCUCUGCAUAGGUUCUCUUGUUUAGCCAUAUAAGGGAAUACCUUAUAGCUUUUAUUCCCCCCCCCAACACGAACGGCCACAGUGAUUGGAACAGAUUGUGUAAAACCAUCCAGGAACCUUUAUAAUGGGGGGGGGAAUCAUCCAGGAAACUCCAUCCCCCACCAAUUAUGCUUAGCUUCUUUCUGCUUCACUCCAGCUCCCUAUAAGCAAUUUUUUAAAUCCCAAAUUAAAUCCCCACAACUCUGUUGGCAGAAGUAAGGCCAGACCCUACAGAAGAGAAGUAAUUAAAGCAGGAACCCUCCCUGAGAUACUUGAAUUCAGCUGGAUGAUGAGAACGACGGUAGUGGUGGUGGUGGUGGGGAACCAUCUCUCUGUGUCAACCACCACUGCUCCUCCUGUGAUUCACAUUAUGAAUGGCACCAGGAUAGCAUCUUUGUUUUUCCAAUAGGAACCCAUUGAAGUUCCCCUUUUCCUUCUGCCCCAGAAAAUCCUAGAGAUUUUCACUUGGAUGAAUCAUAAUAUCUUCAUUAGGGGACUGGAGGCUAAAACAUAUGAAGAACGGUUGCAGGAACUGGGUAUGUCUAGUUUGAUGAAAAGAAGGACUAGGGGAGACAUGAUAGCAGUCUUCCAAUAUCUCAGGGGCUGCCACAAAGAAGAGGGAGCCAAGCUAUUCUCCAAAGCACCUGAGGGUAGGACAAGAAGCAAUGGGUGGAAACUAAUCAAGGAGAGAAGCAACCUAGAACUAAGGAGAAAUUUCCUGACAGUCAGAACAAUUAACCAGUGGAACAACUUGCCUCUCGAAGUUGUGAAUGCUCCAACACUGGAAGCUUUUAAGAAGAGGUUGGAUAACCAUUUGUCUGAAGUGGUGUAGGGUUUCCUGCCUAAGCAGGGGGUUGGACUAGAAGACCUCCAAGGUCCCUUCCAACUCUGUUAUUCUAUUCUAUUCUGUCCUGUCCUGUCCUGUCCUGUCCUGUCCUGUCCUGCCCUGCCCUGCCCUACCCUACCCUACCCUACCCUACUCUACUCUACGCUAUUCUAUUCAGAGCUGUGGAAGGGUUUUUCCAAUUGUGAUAUGAUCCCUAAGAGAAAAGCCUGUCUCAUUUUGUUAGGAAGGAUCCAUGUACGAGCAUCUCGGUUAGCGGGUUCUCAAGAUAUCUCCUCAUCUCGUUUUCCUAGGCUUGGACUAGUCAUGGGACCAUUGAAGGCCACCAUCCUAUUGUCUGAAAAAUGCCAGCUUGUCCAAUUUUCCCACCCAAACAAAUUCAACAAUAUUUUUCAAUGCUGUGGGGAGAAACCACUCUCCCAGUCCUAUCGACUCAAUUUGAAUGGCAGCUCCUGAGCCACACAGGAUUGCUACUUCGCGAGGCUAAUGGUCAACUUGGCCCACAAAUGGUAAUGUCUCCUUUUCCCAACUUUCAUUGACCACAUUCCAUUCACAAACACUUUUCUUCUCUGUUUUUCGCAUUUUCAUCUGUCUUCUCCUCCCCCUCUCUUUUUAAAGACAUCUUAUCGUUCUGUUUUCUCUCGAUUCCCAUUAUGGCACAUGAUUCCGUUUCAUUUUCCUUGUUUGCCUGGAUGUGAUUUCUCUCUGGCAGAGAUUCAGAAGGGAACAAGAAUGUUUCACAUUAUUGUUUUGAGCAUGAGGGAUAUUCUGUGUGCCAGGCCAAACACACAUGGAGACAGAAAAGGUCUAUUUGGAAUUUGCUGUACCCUGAUUUUACAUUGGCACUUGACCUUUGUCAAGACUUCUCCUGGUUUUCAUUAGACACCGGUACUGGCCUGGAAAGUAAGAAACUUAGAUGGGGAAGAUGAAGGAGAUGUCCAAAAGAAGCUCCUGAUAAAUAAAACAAAGACACCUACAGCACAGGGAAUCCCAACCCAUCUGAUGCAGGGUGAAAAGAACCAAGUUUGAAUGCCUCUUCUGCUCCAACUUCAGAUGGAACUUGAAGAAAUCCUUCAAAAGAAAAGCAGAAUACAUGCAUCAUAAAGCAUAUACUCUGGGGACUUUUAAGGAGGAGCUGCCUUCACUCUCUUUCUCUCACACAAACCAUCUAAACGGUGUUGUCUCUUGCUCCUCCGGAAAUCAGCCCCUCCCUUCUGGGAAUCCAGACAACGCUCCAUCGUUUUAAAUUAACCGUGAUUCACAGGACAUGCUAAGCCGAAAGACAUUACGGCUUAAUGUUGCAAGAGUCAAGUUUUGCUUUCAUACCUUUGGUCUUUGCUGUGUCUUCUCCUGAGCAAGAAUAUGAUCUCCGGAGUAUUUAGAAGCCCCUUCUAGUCUUUGAAUCAAACGCACAUCAUUUCUACACAUGUCAAGUCUAAAGAUUUGUGGAGGGGGAAAAAAGGAAAAAUCAGUUUCCAGCACAGGAUAACGCCUGGCCCAUUGACCAGGUUUGGCUUUGCAACUAAACAAGACAGACACAGACUUCAGAGGAUAAUUAGAACCGCAGAAAAAACAAUGGCUACCAACCUGCCUUCCAUUGAGGACCCGUAUACUGCGCGAGUCAAAAAGAGGGCUGUGAAAAUAUUUACAGACCCCUCGCAUCCUGGACAUAAAUUGUUUCAACUUCUAUCCUCAAAACGACGCUAUAGGGCACUGCACACCUAGGCACAAGGACAGUUUUUUCCCCCAUGCUAUCACUCUGCUAAACAACUAAUUCCCACAACACUGUCAAAUAAUUUACUAAGACUGUAUUAUUAUUAUUAUUCUGUUCCUUACUAGUAUCUAUUGUAUCUCUUCCCACCUAUUACUAUAACCAUGUCGCUUGUAUCUUUCAAUUUAUAUUUUUUUUUCCAAGUACGAUUUGAUAGCUUAUUAGUAACCUUGACUAUCACUGUGUUGUAUCUUUCUAUUCUUGAUGAAUGUAUUUUAUUCUCCUUAUGUACCCUGAGAGCAUAUGCACCAAAGACGAAUUCCUUGUGUGUCCAAGCACACUUGGCCAAUAAAGAAUUCUAUUCUCUAACUUA